rnacentral:rRNA from 1 species
GGCUUAACACAUGCAAGUCGAACGCUUGUAGCAAUACAAGAGUGGCGCACGGGUGAGUAACACGUGGGAACAUGCCCUUUAGUUCGGAAUAACAGCGGGAAACUGCUGCUAAUACCGAAUACGCCCUUCGGGGAAAAGAUUUAUCGCUAAAGGAUUGGCCCGCGUCAGAUUAGCUAGUUGGUGGGGUAAUGGCCUACCAAGGCUCCGAUCUGUAGCUGGUCUGAGAGGACGACCAGCCACACUGGAACUGAGACACGGUCCAGACUCCUACGGGAGGCAGCAGUGGGGAAUAUUGGACAAUGGGGGAAACCCUGAUCCAGCCGUGCCGCGUGAGUGAUGAAGGCCUUAGGGUUGUAAAGCUC